AGCAUGUAUCUCAGCUUUUAUUGAUUUCUUUUUCAUUCUAAAAAGCUAUACAUCUAUUUUGUACUCUGGAAGUUAUACAGAUGUGCCACAACACCACAUCUCCCGAACAUGUGGUAGUGGGGAUGUGUGGGGAAGAAUCACUGCUUCCAUAAGGCUAAGAAAAGGAAAGAUCAAUAUGACAGCAGGGUAGAGUCAGACUCAACUUUCCCACUUAUUUUUACUUAAAAAAAAGCUGGUUAAUAACUCACAUUAUGGACACAAUGCUAUUUAAGAAGCAUUUCUCAGUUGGCCUUCCCUUUUGAGUUACUUUCUACAUAGAUAAGUUUUUUUGUUUUUGUCUUUAUAUUUUCUCUCUUUGGUGACUAGAAAAAGGUGUUUGCCUUUCUGAUUUUUCACUUGAAUAUUUUUAUUAGUAUCAAAUUCGUUAGUUCUAGACUGAUAUUAAAAUGAAAGUGCUCUUCUGCUCAUUUUUCUAACAAAAACAAAGAUAUUACAGGCAUAUUUCAAACUUCAGUUAUGUCAAAAAAUGCGACUUCUUUAGUGGCAGAUACAAGAGAUCAAAGAUUCCUCAUGUUAAACACAAAACUUGUGUUCAACCUCAUGUUUUCUUCUCCCAGGAAAUCUCCAGGCAUCUACCAGUUACCUCAUAUUUUACGUAGCUGCUAGGAAAACUGCUUGAUACACAAACCUCUUGAGCAAAGCUGGUCCUCAUAGUGGUAGUUAUAGCCCCUGUCUUGCAUGUAUAGUUUAGGUCAAUAGCAAGUAGCAAGUUAACUACAUUUAGGACCACAGUGUUGGGAAACUCCUUCCAAGAUAAUCUCCUUUAUUUUGUUGGUUUAACAAGGUACCCCAAAACUUUAUAUUACAUGUAAUGGGCUUGAAAUAUUAAGCAUCAGGCUGUGAGUUUAGUGUUCUUGUUUUUGAGGUAGAACAAAUCCUUCCCAAGGCUUCCGUUUUGCUCAUCCUCUCAGUCUUUCUUUUUCUCUACCUCCUCCUAAGCAACCCCUUUCCUAGCACUCGAGUAAUAACAGGCCAUUCUUCAAACCUUAUAAUAUGCUGUUCAAUAAAGCAUUGCCUAAUGAGACAGAGAGUACAUUUUUUAAGAAGAAGCCUGUUUGAAAAUUCCUGAGAUAAAGUGAAACCUACAAUAUCGACUGCCUUGACAACUAUGAAAACUUUCAAUAUUAAGGAGAAAAAAAAAUAUCAGCGGGCUAGCGUAGUGUUCAAUAGUGAGCGUCUUGCUCUCCCUUCAAUCUUUCUAACCGCUACCAGCAGGCCCAAAGGCCGGCUCAGACGCCCUCGGAAUCCAGCAAGAGAGACAGACCGCCCUCGCGAAGCUGAGAUGAACACUGCGACCCGCCUCCGCCUUUAAGAUGCCGCGGGAAGAGGCGCAGUCGGACGUGGGGCACGGAACGCCACGCCUCCAGGGGUGGGGCUGCCGCCAAGCCUCCCCGACCCUAGCGUCUGAAGGGGCGGAGUCCAUGGUGACGUCAUCCUGGAGGCCCGCCCUGGUUGGAGGGAAUGUAGAAGGGACUUGGAGGUCCCUGGAAGGAGGCGGAGUCUAGUUUUCCUGGUGAAGAAUUGCCUGGCGGUUGCCUAGUUACGGGUCGCUGCGGCGCUGGCUACCACAGCGCGGUUGGCGGAGGCUGGAGGGGUCUGUGGGCCGGAGCCCCCGCCACGGCCUCUGUUUGUCCUGUGAUGGCUGCCGCCGCCGCAGUGGUCACACCGUCGGGUCUGGAGGAUGGGGUGUCUCGGUCUCGGGGCGAAGGGGCCGGAGAGGUGGUCGUGGAGCGAGGGCCUGGCGCGGCCUACCACAUGUUCGUGGUGAUGGAGGACCUGGUGGAGAAGCUGAAGCUGCUCCGCUAUGAGGAGGAACUCCUCCGGAAGAACAACCUGAAGCCCCCGUCCAGACACUAUUUUGCACUGCCCACCAACCCUGGUGAACAGUUCUACAUGUUUUGCACUCUUGCUGCUUGGCUGAUUAACAAAGCAGGACAUCUCUUUGAGCAGCCUCAAGAGUAUGAUGAUCCUAAUGCAACAAUAUCUAACAUACUAUCAGAGCUUCGAUCAUUCGGAAGAACUGCAGAUUUUCCUCCUUCAAAAUUAAAGUCUGGUUAUGGAGAGCAUGUAUGCUAUGUUCUUGAUUGUUUAGCUGAAGAAGCAUUAAAAUAUAUUGGUUUCACCUGGAAGAGGCCAGCAUACCCAGUAGAAGAAUUAGAAGAAGAAACUGUUCCAGAAGAUGAUGCAGAGUUAACAUUAACUAAAGUGGAUGAAGAAUUCGUGGAAGAGGAGACAGAUAAUGAAGAAAACUUUAUUGAUCUCAACGUUUUAAAGGCCCAGACCUAUCGCUUGGAUAUGAAUGAGUCUGCCAAACAGGAAGAUAUUUUAGAAUCUACAACAGAUGCUGCGGAAUGGAGUCUAGAAGUGGAACGUGUACUACCACAACUGAAAGUCACGAUUAGGACUGACAAUAAGGAUUGGAGAGUCCACGUUGACCAAAUGCACCAGCACAAAAGUGGAAUUGAAUCUGCUCUAAAGGAGACCAAGGGAUUUUUGGACAAACUCCACAAUGAAAUUAGCAGAACUCUGGAAAAAAUUGGCAGCCGAGAGAAGUACAUCAACAAUCAACUUGAGCACUUGGUUCAAGAAUAUCGUGCAGCUCAAGCCCAGCUGAGUGAGGCAAGGGAGCGAUACCAGCAGGGGAACGGUGGAGUGACUGAAAGGACCAGGCUCCUGUCUGAGGUUACAGAAGAAUUAGAAAAGGUAAAACAAGAAAUGGAAGAGAAAGGCAGCAGCAUGACCGAUGGUGGUGAGUGCACUCAUUUAAGGAGAAGAAGUGAGCAAGAGAAGAGUAACUGUUUACAAAAGUCUGUUGGAUAAAGUAGCAUUAAUAAGUAGGGAGUUCGCUUUUUUAAAUGAGCUAUUUGUUUGAGGUGAGGUACUUGGUGCAGAAAUGAUGUCCUAUAAUCAGUAUACUGUUUUCCUUAAAAAGCAACUGGGAGUGAGAAGCAUAGUUUUUUGUUUUUUGUUUUUUAACUAUCAUUUGGGGUUUUUUGUUUCAAAUUUUAUUGAUUCAGAGACAGAAUGGUAAAUAUUUAAAGAUACACUUUAUUGUGCCAAUUUAAAAAAUAGUGUUUUAUUUUGUUUUUGUGAAAUGAGCUUUAUUUUUCCAUUUUCUGUACAAGAGGUCACUAAGUAUACGCCCAAAUGGCACUGAGGCAGUGAUGUCAUGACCUGACAAGGCAGGGUCAGGUAGAGAAGAAUUAAUAAUCCUCCUGUCAUCAUCCUCCAUCCUGAGCUGAUUACUGUGACAUGGCCCGGUGGUAAUUCUCUAAGACUGUUCUAUGCCCUACAAAGAUUUUUACAGUUCUAAUGGUAUAUAUUAAGUGAUCAUUCAAAGGGGGUGUAUAGGGGUUUUUUGGCAACAUUUUUUUGAAUGAGCCCAUUAUCUAGAUAUCAAAGGUAAUUCUCCCUCCCCCUUUUCGCCCUUUGUAUCCCCUUUUCCUACAGACAAAUAUGCUAGCCCGUAAAAUCAUAUUGAAGACAUCUUUAAACACCCUUUAGCAACUCUUCCCCUAGAAAAGGAAGAAAGUUCAGCCUCCAUACAUCAAAUGCUGCAUCAGUUCCCAUCCUACAAAUCUCAGCGCCUUUGGUGAAGAUUAAACAGAGCUUAACAAAACUGAAGCAAGAGACUGUUCAGAUGGAUAUUAGAAUCGGCGUUGUGGAACACACAUUACUGCAGUCAAAACUGAAGGAGAAGUCCAACA